rnacentral:rRNA from 1 species
GACGAACGCUGGCGGCGUGCUUAACACAUGCAAGUCGAGCGGUAAGGCCCUUUCGGGGGUACACGAGCGGCGAACGGGUGAGUAACACGUGGAUGACCUGCCCUCAGCUCUGGGAUAAGCCUGGGAAACCGGGUCUAAUACUGGAUAUGACUCCAUGACGCAUGUUGUGGGGUGGAAAGCCUUGUGCGGCUGAGGAUGGGCCCGCGGCCUAUCAGCUUGUUGGUGGGGNGAUGGCCUACCAAGGCGACGACGGGUAGCCGGCCUGAGAGGGCGACCGGCCACACUGGGACUGAGACACGGCCCAGACUCCUACGGGAGGCAGCAGUGGGGAAUCUUGCGCAAUGGGCGAAAGCCUGACGCAGCGACGCCGCGUGA